ACUAAAGGAGUAAAACCGAACAAAAGGUCAGACAUUGGGAAGACCAUGAGCAUGGAUGUGAAACAUGGAGAGAAGAGAAUGAUUGGUGAAGUUUGAGAGAGUCUCGUAAAUAACCAAGUUGACAACAGUACAGGAGGAUCGAGGGAUACUAGUUCCAAACACAAACCAGAUGGAAUGGUUGCUUUGCCAAAAAAGAAGAAAUUGUCAUGGAAAUCGUGCCAUUGCUUUGAGUGGCCUAGCUGCUGCAGUAAAUUUCCAGAUUGAUCGUGCAAAUGUAUCACUGGCCUGGUUUCUCUCUUAAAUUGUUCACCUGCCGUGGCUGCUUGUAUGAGAGGCAAAGCAGUCCAUUGAAGUAUCCGAGAUGGGCAGGCAGCUGCUUUAGAUGUUGGCCUUGCCUCAAGUGGCGAUGUUAAAAUUGUACUUCAACUGUUGUGAUUCCAGUAAUGCGUAUGCUGAUCUUCCACAUAGUAGAAAUGUAUGUGUGUAUCAGAGCACCAGCCUCUCGAUUGUGCCAGUAUGCUGCCAAGCUCUGUGAAGGCAACAAAGCAAAAGGCAUGCUCUUCCUUUUCGUGUUCUAGUUCAUGUUGUUGUUGAUGAUGUGUCGCCUUUAACUGGCCUUCCUCUUUUAUCAUGUCUUUGUCGUUGCUUUAUAGCUUCUCGGACAGAACUAGAUGUGCAUUUAGUUGAUAAUUCUAAUCUAGACACCUUUAUUUUUCCUAUAACCUUGAAAUAGAGGUUGCUGCUUUUGGCUUAUAAAAAACUCAAUUUCCAUUAUUUAGAUGUAAUCAGUUGCACUAGCUCUGCUAUCGUUGCUCGCUUAGUAGCCAAUUUGUCACUCAAUGCUCUUUAAUUUAGUAGUACAGGGUUCACUUUAUUCCCCAAUAAAGUUUAUACUACUAUUUAGUAUUUUCA